UGUGAGUUAUCAAAUGUCCUGGUCUUUUUGUCUGCAUCCAAAUAUAGCUGCACAAUAUCCAUGUGAAGCUUCCUUAGGGUUACUAUAUCUGUAUGAUUCACGUGAAAGAUUUUUCCAAGUGAAGAGAUCCCUUUUCGGAUCAUGAAGAGCAUGGAGCUUCUCUGAGGGAAAUUAUGCGGAGUCUGAUUACCGUCAGAUAGGGUUUGGGUGUGCAGAAGAUUCUUAUAGCAAUGGCGAUUGCAGAAUUGGUUGGUGUUGUCCGUUACUAUAGCCU